GGGAUCAAACCUAAAAUCUGGGUGUGUGCCUUGACUGGGAAUUGAACCCGUGACCCUUUGGUCUACGGGAUGACACUUCAACCAACUGAGCUACACCACCGAAGGCUGGAAGACACUUUCUAAAUAAGCUUAUGUGUCUCAGACUAUGGAAGAUUCCUUCUCAGGCACCAUUCUGGUAUUUGUGUGUGGUUUGGGGAAGGUGGGCCAAUGGGGAUCUGGAGAGGAUGAGAUUUCUCUCAUAGCCUGGCUGGGGUACUGCAGACUCAACUUGAUUCUGCUUACUGAGUGGCUCUUGUGGCAGAAGAGUAUAUCCCUUGAGUUGCUGUCUGGUGAGGCAUGAUGUAGGGCAGACUAAAAGGAGGGUGUUUCUUACCACUGAAAUUAAAAGUGAAGGGGGAAGGUGAUAGAGAAGCUUGUUUUUUUGAGAGAAUUCAAAGAUCUUGCAAAUGUUGGAGUUAGGUGACAUGGUUCUGUGUAUUCCAUUGGAGAUUUUAGAAUUGGUGAUACAAGUGUGAUUGGGAAAUAAACAUGAACAUAAAAUAACAAGAGGCAUCUUUGAAGGAAAUUAAUGAGGGUAAGUUUUUUUUUAAAUUUUAUUUCCUGUUCUGUGCUAGGCAUUGUAGUAAGUUGUGCAAAUUACUCAGAAAUGACACAGCCUUUGCCACUAGGACCUCAACCGUGAGUUUUAUUUUGUAUUUCCCAGUCAGUGGCUUGUGCAUCCUCCCUGUUUCUAACAGGAAACAUUGUCAAGAUGGCUGUUGAGAGAAAGAUGCAGGGGUUGGCGGUGUUGCCAGGAAACUGGUAAUACUGCCAUUUAUUGAGGUGUUACCAUGGUGUUUUACAUAGCUGACUUUUAAAGUCCAGAUAGUGAUCCUGUCAGAUGGGCAUUUCCCCCCCCUCCAAUGGACAGAUAUAUUUGAGUGUAAUGGUAAAAGCAUGGAGACAGAGUGCCUGGCUUCAGUUCAACCCAAGUGCCAGCUAGCUGUAGGACUCUAAGCAAGUCACUUAUGUCUCUGUGUCUCUACCACGUCAUGUCUAAAAUGGGAGUGAUGGUAAUAGUAUGCAGCACUACCCUCGGAACAGUGCUGUUGCAAGGAAUAGAUGAGUUCUUAGAUGUAAGGCCCUUAGCAUUAGUAUCUAGCACAUUCCAAAGGCUAAAAAUAUUGGUAUUAUUGUACUAUUAGGAAUGAGGAAAUUGAAGCCUGGUAUGGUGAGAUAACUUGCUUUUGGUCACCAGUAGCUGGUAGAGCUGAAAUUCAAAUCCAGCUUCAGAGGGAGGUGGAGAGUCAAGGUUGCACCCCAUCCAUGGCCUCAACCUCUUCUGCUCUUAGCCUCUAGAUAGGGGAGAAGAGCUCUUGGCUUUGGAGGUGGCCUCUUGUAGGGAGAGAGGAGGCCCUUUGUCAUAGGGACCCAGAGUCUCAGGAGCAGUAUCUUCAGUGCAUUCUGAUCAACAUUGGGAAGAAAGACCAUGGCAAGAUGUGAGCCUUUGGGAAAGCCAUGCCCUCUGAUUUUAAUAAGAGAGGGCACUGUCUUCCUUCUGCUUCUAGAUGCCAGCUACUAUGCCCUUGCCUGAGGGGCAAUUCUUUUUUUUUUUAAUUUAUUUUUCAUGUACAGUUGCCAUACAACAUUAUGUUAGUUUCAGGUGUACAACAUAGUGAUUAGACAUUUACAUACCUUAUGAAGUGGUCACCCUGAUAAGUGUAGCACCCAGCGGACCCCAUCCAUAGUUGUUACAGUGUUACCGACUGCACCCACUGUGCUGCACUUUACACGAGGAACAACACUCAAUUGUUAUCUCCUGACAAAGAGGAGUUGCCUGACCAAAUAAGUGCACAAAAUGCGCUUGCCAGUAUGUUUUCCUUUGUCUUUUUUUUGUAAAAAAAAAAAAACAACAAAUUAAAUUUCUUCUAUCUAUAUUUUCCAAAGGAAGGUUAUGAGCUUCUGGAAACAAACCUGAUAGGGCAUGAGAAGGGAGAGGCAGAUGAACAGGAGUCAUGUGGUGACUGUUUUGACUUUUGAACCCUGAAAGAAAUGUUCUGGUAAAUUAGCAUUUCCUUCUGUAAUCAAGACCCACUUAGUGGAUGGAUAUGCUGUUGAUAUUGCAGUGUGCACGUGUGUGCAGACCUCUAGAGAUCAUAAGAACUUCAUGCCUCGUUUUUAUGUACCAUCUUCAUAUGAAGACUGCCACUUGGGUGAUCCCCACCACCCUUAUGGCACCCCUGUGGGUUGUAGGUAUAGGUGUAGUUUGUUGCUGUAAAUUAUAGGUGUGGGUGUAGUUUGUAAGUAUAGUUUUUAGUUAUAGGUUGUAGCUCUAGGUUGUAGGUAUAGAUUAUAGCUAUAGGGUUAUACAUUAUAUAAUAGAUGUAGGUUGCAGGUCUCAGUUACAGUUUUAAGUGUGGGUUUAGUUUGUAGUUGUAGAUAUAGGUUAUAAGUUGUUGAUGUAGGUUGUAGGUGUAGGUGGCAGUUUGUAGGUGUAGCUUAUAAGUUGUUGAUGUGGGGUGUAGGUGUAGGUGGCAGUUUGUAGCUAUAGGUUAUAAGUUGUUGAUGUGAGUUGUAGGUAUAGGUGGCAGUUUUGUACAUAUAGGUUAUAGGGGGGAAAUAGAAACAAUGGGCUUUUCACUUCUCAAGGUCACAUGCCUUUAGGAACAGACAGAUCUGAACCUAGAACCCAGAACUUUUGAUUACAAGAUUCCUGAUCUUUCUGAGCUUAUGUUCCUCCAUGAGAAGGAAAUGCUCAUAGUUUUCUCUUAUAAAUAUACAUAAAUGUAGAUAGAGGAGGGACCUCGUCUCUGGUCUCUCUACCUAGAGACACCAUUGGCUACCUUUUGAUCCAUUUCCUUUAAGUCUCUUUGUACAGCUUUUCAUACUGUUGGAAUUUCCUUAGCUGUGAUUGUACUUUUUAUCCAAUAUUGUAUGCUGCGUCCCCUACCCCCAUUACUAUAUAACACAUCUUCUGUGCUGUUAGAAGUCCAUAAACAUUUUUUAUGACUGUAUGCUAUUCAUGAUGGCUGUAUCAUCAUUUUUUUGCCUUCCUCUAAUGUGGGAUGCUUAGGCUAUUGUAGUAUUUGGCUUUAUAACUAAGUUAACAACUUUGAGGUAAGUUUUCUUGAAUAUAGUAUUUUUAGGUUUUCAGGGGAACUGUGAGGCUGGGGAUGGGCUACACCCAGGAGAGUCUGGAGAAGGCCUGGUAACUUCCUGAUGGGAAAUCUAGCCUGAGGUUACAUAGUCACCUGGCUCAAGUGUGCCCUUGGCAGAGGCUGCUGGCCCAGAGGCCAGUGUGUGGCAGUGUAGUGGCCCAGCCCUGGGAUAGAUGGAGCAAUAGAGGGUUCUCCCUCUUUUAGACAGAAGUAGGAUAUUCAGGAGUAGAGGUAGGGAAGAAAUAUGGGUGCCUCUCAGAGAUUUGGAUCUAUAGAGACAGUAAAGGAGGGCAUAGGGUGGGAAGAAAUAGUCAUACACUUAUAACCUCCCCACAAUUUGUCCCUCUGGCAUUUCUGUUCCGAGUUGUCAAAAAAGCAAUAGACAAUUCUCUCCAACAACCAAAGCCUAAGCUAGGAAAGUCCACCCUUCUUUGUAGGGCUUGGAAAACCCUAGUGGGUGCUUAUCAGAGGGGUCCUUGAAGGUCAGUGGCUGGUGGAGUGACCCCUUCAUAGGGUUGGGUGAAUCUUGCAGGGAGCAUGGAGGAAAGGAGAGUGGGGGGCAGAGCCUGGCACAGAGAGGGGGAGGGGUGCAGUAUGCAACAAAGACUAGUCCCUGUACUCAAGGAGGUUAUUGAUGCUCAGGGGUCCUUCUUCCAGCCCUGGCUAUUCCCAGUCCUAGGAUGUUCUUUCUCCUUUUGUUUGGCUGGUUUCUGCAAAUGAAGCAGUCAAUUCCUGGAGAAGUUAUUUGUCUGAAGUCAUGUAACCAUUGAAUGGGGACGGGAAACUAGAUCAGAGGGAUCCAGGUUCCCCAGUGCCCUUUGUGCUGUGUCAUGUAGCCUCUGACAUGUGUUGGCUUAUCUUCAGUUAGGCUGUCUGCUCCUUUGGGGUCAGGGUUGCAUCUUACCUUGUUUAAUUCCCCCCCCCCCCCAAUAUGACAUGACCUUGUUAAGACAUGAUGGGCACAGUAGCAGCCCUGGGCGAUUCCCCUGGGUGAGGGAGGCAAGAGCCUGUCAUGGUGUGGAUGGUCAGUUUGUGUUUGGUGAAUGCAGGAGUGUUCAUUCAUCAGAAACACAUAUGCAUUCAUUCUAAAAAUAUUUUUAAGCACUUGCUAUGUCUGUCCUGAGUAUAACAGUAGAGCUUCUAUCUCUGCAGAGGAGAAAGCCAUCAACAAAAGUUAUAGAAUUAAUAAUUACAGAUAGUGGAGGAGCCAAGAAGAGAGUGAUUUCAGGUUGCGAAGGGAGCAUAUGCAGAGGGGCAUGGUAGAGUUUGAGGAGCACCUUUCAGGAUCUUCUAGAUGUCCUGGGCUUACAAGUCAGGGUCUCAUACUGCCAUGGGGAGGGUUUCAUUAAGAUAAGUAGAUUUUCUACAUGGACCCUGGUUUUGGCUCUACUAUUGACCUGCUGGGAUACUUCUAAAAUGUUUGCUUCUUUGUGUCUUGUUUGCUUUAGCAGGAGAUUACAUAAAUGAAGAAACUGUAAGAUCCUGCUAUAAAUAAUUUACCCCAUCACCUCACCUCCAUCAGCACCAUGGUGGACAUACACUGAGGAAAUUCUAAUCCUGCCUUAAAAAUGACUGGUAUAUGCAAUAUUUUAGUGUUUGGGUUUUCUCUUUUGAUUGGGGUUUGGUCAUUUGCUAGUUUCUCAUGGUUAAGAUUUGGACAGAGGUAUUUUCCAGACUUAAAUGAGAAAGAAAAGACCUAGGAAGAAAUAGGCCAACCCUAGCUCUUUCCCACCCAGUAAGCAUGCUUUGCAUGGGCACAUCUCUCUUUCCGUUUGUUGGUCAGUGUCUCAUCUGCUUCCAGCCUUUUGUCCUACUCACUUGGUCAGAUGGUCCAGAGAGCCAGUGCCCUGAGGGGGGAAUCUGCCCCUUUUGCACAUGUCAUGGGAAGGCUCAAAGGCAUCUUGUUGGAGUCAAAUGACUUGUUAGCACAUGCCUGCUUGCGGAUCCUUCUGCAGUUGACAUAUUGUGUGACACACGGGAUUUUGCAUGGUGCUGAAAUGCAUGGCAAGCCUCUCCUCUCUCUGAGCACCAAUUCAGUGCAUUUUUCCCCAAUUGCUCCUUCUUGAAGGAGAUUAUUUCCGAUGCAUAUUGACUUGUUACUGACAAAUGCUUCAGAGGGAUAAUGAGCUGGGUAGUUUUCCCAUUCCUUUUUGUGUUCUUGUUGUUGUUGAAUUCGUAUGGGUAACUGGGCUCUCCACUUACACUUUAUUGAUUCCUGAAUUUAGGAGAUGGCUCUGUAAUAAACGAUUUCUUCCACCACAAAGAAGGACUAUACCUGUGGUUGCUGUCUUUGUCAGAAGCUGUAUGAUUCCAGGGCCAAGGUUUUUGCCUGAGACAGGCACUCUGUCCAGCCCUGGACUGACACGUCUGAGUGCCCUUCAGCAAGUCCCUUGCUACCCUUUUCCUGGCUCUGUUUUUCCCUUGCUGUACUACCAGGAGUCAGACCACAUGACAUUGGGUGCUGGACCUCCCAGUUCUCACAUUUUCCAGGCUGGAUGGAAGCCUUUUCCUUUGCUGGCUUGGUGUGUGAAAGUCUGGGGCAUUCUUGCAUUCAUGGAUGACACUGCCGAUCCCACAUGCACUUGCCAUUGUUUUCCCAGGAGGCCUGGCCAUGUUUGCUGAGUCACACACAUGCGCAGCCAGAGUCCCUUGUGACUAAGCAGUGUGCUUUUGAGAGGGUUGGCAGGGCAGUGGUGCAGCCUGUGGCUCAGCCUGAACCCAGCAUUGCCCGAUGGGAAAUAAACCAUUACCUUGCCAGUGUGGGUAAAGGGCCUCGUCCAUGGAGCUACCCCAUCUGGGCUCAUGAAGUGCUCGCCUCUCCAUUCCAGUAUUCUGCCUGUCAGCUUUGCUUAUGCGUAAGAUGGAUUACUCUUGCUUCAGAUAAUCAUGGAAAAUCUUACUGUCAAGUUCUUAGGACAGGAUUAAGUAGAAUAGGUGAUAAAGGUCGUCAGCAUUAUUUCCAGUCUCAACUUUUAUUCACCCCUGUAGCCUGUAGACAAGCUGGAUGCUUACUCAAGUGGCAAAAACCAGGGAUUCAGAGUCGGGCACACUCAGAUUUGAAGUCUGGCCAUGGUGCUUCUUGGCUGCAUCACCUUAAACACUGAACUCCCUGAGCCUCAGUUCUCCUUCUCUAAAAUGGUAGAAAACAACAUUGACCUAAGAGGUUUGCUGGUGGAGACUAAGUGAGUGAACACUGUUUUGCAGCAUCCCAAUACUGGUAGGAUGCUUUUAGGUGGGACACAGAUGAGUUUCUUAUUAUAGUUGUGUAUUUGAAUGCGCUUGUGAAAAAAUAGAACUAGUACAUCAGAACUCGUGAUUUCACAGAUAUUAUUGCCCAGGACAAUGCUAAUUUAAAAUAAAGUGAGAUAAAGUUGAUGUAAAGAAUGAUGUGCAGUGAAUUUUAGUGCAGGGUAUGCAGACGUGGCAGAAAUCAGGAAGGUGGGCGAGUGGGACAGAAUUAUCUCAUAUAGGAUACAUGGUAGGAGGAGAAUUCGUGUGCCUUUGCUUUCUUGUCUGCUCCCCAUGCAGAGAAGGUGUAGGGUGCUAGUGUAAGAAGCUCAAAGAGAAAAGUGGCUGCUGGCUCAACCUUGCGCAUUGCAUCAGCCUGACACGAUGCUAUACACUCCCAGCUGUGAAUUCUGUUAAGUGAUUUUGAACAAAUGGCCUCUUUUCCUGAUCCUUCCAGGGCAAGUGUUAAUCAUUAUAGAAUUAGCCAUGGAGCUAGGAGAGAACUUGGAGACAGUCUAUUCCAUUUUAUACUAUUUAUAUGACUUAAAAAUUAUUUUAUAUAAAGAAUGGACCCAGAGAGAUAGGGACUUACUCCAAGACACACAAAUAGUGGAGUGGCUGGCACAAACUUUCACAUGUUUUUCCCUGAAGAUCUUUCUUCUUUCUGUCCUGCUUGCCAUCACAGGCAGUAGCUUCACUGUGUUCAGUGUGUUCCUAAACAGGACCCAACUGGACUGGGGUAUGUAAGUCCCACACCGCGGGGAUCUCUUCUGCAGUGUUGCCUGGUUUUCUGUGUUUCUCUUGUUGGUGAGAGGAAUGGAGAGCCAACUGUUUAGACUCUGUGGGAAGAAGAGGAAAUGAAUUUUAAAAUCACAAGUUUUAACUGUUCUGUACCCAUAGUGUUGCAUACUAGCAUAUGACCUGCUGCUGACUUCCCAGAGCCUGCGCUUCCUCCUCUGUAAGAUGGUUUGACCUCUGCAUGUUUGAGUCACAUGAAAGGUGGGAAAGGUUGAGUCCCUGGCUCCCUUGGUCAGUGUAAAGACUGAGCUGGGUCCUGGGGCAUGAAGGGAGUUAGGCAGGGUGCUAGAGGUGUCAGGGGGCACUCCUGGUGGAGGAAAAACACAAGGCAGGCUCAGAGAGGAUAGACACAUGGCAUCUGUGGGAAUCUAUAGUGUGGUGUGGGGAACGAGGGGGCAAGCAGGAGCACAGGAGUGGAACUCAGCAUGUAGCAGCAGCCACCUAGCCCCACAAACCCGCAUCAUGUAAAAGAUCUCAGGGGAGAAGAGUUUGUGUGCUGCACCUUUUCUGGGUUAUUUUAUUUUAUUUUUUUUGUGUGUGAUAAACCAUACAAUGUACCAUUUAAACCAUUACAAAAUAUACAAGCCCAGCGUUGUGUGACCAUCACUGUGAACUAGUUCCAGAACGUUUCAUCACCCCAGGUGGAAGCCCCGUACCCAUUUGCAGUCACUCCCAUUUCCCCCUCCCCCUGGAACCCCACAGCUCUGCUUGCUGCUUCUAUGAAUUGGCCUACUUUGGGUAUUUCAUAUAAUGGAAUUACACAAUACAUGGCCAUUAGUAUCUGGCUACAUUCACGUAGCAUAAUGCUUUCAGGGUAUUGUAGCAUGUUAGUACUUCAUUCUUUCACUCAUACUCUACUGUAUGGAUGUACCACAUUUUGGUAUAUUCAUCUGUUGAUAGAUAUUUGGCUACUGUGAAGAGUGCUGCUAUGAACAUUUGUGUACAAGUUUUUGUUUAAACACCUGUUUUUAAUUCUUCUGUGUAUUCUUUUUGGCCUUGGAAUGAGAUUGCAGGUUAUAAUGGCAGUUCUGUAUUUAACAUAUUGAGGGAAUUGCUGGAUUCUUGAGUGUACAUUUCAGCUCCACCAUCUGCUCAGAGCUGUUCCCCAUUAGGUACCAAGCUCUGAGAAAUGAACUGAAUAAUUACCAUGUACAAGGCAUGAUUUUGCAUCCUCUCUAGCAACCCCAGAAUGUUUGUGCUAUUUUUGUCCCGAGUUUCCAGAUGAGGAAACUUGAGGCACAGAAUGGUUAAACAUCAUCCCCAAGGUCAUGCAGCUCAUGAGUAGUGGAUAUGGGAUUUGAACCUGGAUGGAUUUUCUCCAGAGCCUUU